rnacentral:rRNA from 1 species
AGGAUGAACGCUGGCGGCGUGCCUAACACAUGCAAGUCGAACGUCCUGUCUCGCAAGAGGCAGGGAGUGGCGGACGGGUGAGUACCACGUGGGUCAUCUACCGUGAGGUGAGGAAUACCGGCGAGAAAUCGCCGACAAGACCGCAUAGCCUCGGUGCAAGUCGAGGAAAGCUCUCUCGAGAGAGGGAGCGCCACACGAGGAGCCUGCGCCCGAUUAGCUAGCUGGUGGAGUAACGGUUCACCAGGGCGACGAUCGGUAGCUGGUCUGAGAGGACGAUCAGCCACACUGGGAUUGAGAACGGCCCAGACUCCUACGGGGGGCAGCAGUGAGGAAUUUUCGUCAAUGGGGGCAACCCUGAACGAGCAACGCCGCGUGCAGGAAGAAGGUUUUCGGAUCGUAAACUGCUUUUCGUCGGGAAGAGAAUGGACGGUACCCGAGGAAUCAGCCCCGGCUAACUACGUGCCAGCAGCCGCGGU